AUGAACGCUAGCGACAGGCUUAACACAUGCAAGUCGAGGGGCAGCACAGGUAGCAAUACCGGGUGGCGACCGGCGCACGGGUGAGUAACGCGUAUGCAACUUACCUAUCAGAGGGGGAUAACCCGGCGAAAGUCGGACUAAUACCGCAUGAAGCAGGGGUCCCGCAUGGGGAUAUUUGCUAAAGAUUCAUCGCUGAUAGAUAGGCAUGCGUUCCAUUAGGCAGUUGGCGGGGUAACGGCCCACCAAACCGACGAUGGAUAGGGGUUCUGAGAGGAAGGUCCCCCACAUUGGUACUGAGACACGGACCAAACUCCUACGGGAGGCAGCAGUGAGGAAUAUUGGUCAAUGGCCGAGAGGCUGAACCAGCCAAGUCGCGUGAGGGAUGAAGGUUCUAUGGAUCGUAAACCUCUUUUAUAAGGGAAUAAAGUGCGGGACGUGUCCCGUUUUGUAUGUACCUUAUGAAUAAGGAUCGGCUAACUCCGUGCCAGCAGCCGCGGUAAUACGGAGGAUCCGAGCGUUAUCCGGAUUUAUUGGGUUUAAAGGGUGCGUAGGCGGCCUUUUAAGUCAGCGGUGAAAGUCUGUGGCUCAACCAUAGAAUUGCCGUUGAAACUGGGGGGCUUGAGUAUGUUUGAGGCAGGCGGAAUGCGUGGUGUAGCGGUGAAAUGCAUAGAUAUCACGCAGAACCCCGAUUGCGAAGGCAGCCUGCCAAGCCAUUACUGACGCUGAUGCACGAAAGCGUGGGGAUCAAACAGGAUUAGAUACCCUGGUAGUCCACGCAGUAAACGAUGAUCACUAGCUGUUUGCGAUACACUGUAAGCGGCACAGCGAAAGCGUUAAGUGAUCCACCUGGGGAGUACGCCGGCAACGGUGAAACUCAAAGGAAUUGACGGGGGCCCGCACAAGCGGAGGAACAUGUGGUUUAAUUCGAUGAUACGCGAGGAACCUUACCCGGGUUUGAACGCAUUCGGACCGAGGUGGAAACACCUUUUCUAGCAAUAGCCGUUUGCGAGGUGCUGCAUGGUUGUCGUCAGCUCGUGUCGUGAGAUGUUUGGUUAAGUCCAGCAACGAGCGCAACCCCUGUUGCCAGUUACCAGCACGUGAAGGUGGGGACUCUGGUGGGACUGCCAGCGUAAGCUGCGAGGAAGGCGGGGAUGACGUCAAAUCAGCACGGCCCUUACAUCCGGGGCGACACACGUGUUACAAUGGCGUGGACAAAGGGAAGCCACCUGGCGACAGGGAGCGAAUCCCCAAACCACGUCUCAGUUCGGAUCGGAGUCUGCAACCCGACUCCGUGAAGCUGGAUUCGCUAGUAAUCGCGCAUCAGCCAUGGCGCGGUGAAUACGUUCCCGGGCCUUGUACACACCGCCCGUCAAGCCAUGGGAGCCGGGGGUACCUGAAGUCCGUAACCGCGAGGAUCGGCCUAGGGUAAAACUGGUGACUGGGGCU
rnacentral:rRNA from 1 species